GACGAACGCUGGCGGCGUGCCUAAUACAUGCAAGUGGGACGCAAGGGAACACACUGUGCUUGCACACCGUGUUUUCUUGAGUCGCGAACGGGUGAGUAACGCGUAGGUAACCUGCCUAUUAGCGGGGGAUAACUAUUGGAAACGAUAGCUAAUACCGCAUAAUAUUAAUUAUUGCAUGAUAAUUGAUUGAAAGAUGCAAGCGCAUCACUAGUAGAUGGACCUGCGUUGUAUUAGCUAGUUGGUAAGGUAAGAGCUUACCAAGGCGACGAUACAUAGCCGACCUGAGAGGGUGAUCGGCCACACUGGGACUGAGACACGGCCCAGACUCCUACGGGAGGCAGCAGUAGGGAAUCUUCGGCAAUGGACGAAAGUCUGACCGAGCAACGCCGCGUGAGUGAAGAAGGUUUUCGGAUCGUAAAGCUCUGUUGUAAGUCAAGAACGUGUGUG
rnacentral:rRNA from 1 species